rnacentral:rRNA from 1 species
CACAAGGGGUGAAGCCUGCGGUUCAAUUGGAGUCAACGCCGGGAAUCUUACCGGGGGCGACAGCAGAGUGAAGGUCAAGCUGAAGACUUUACUAGACAAGCUGAGAGGAGGUGCAUGGCCGUCGCCAGCUCGUGCCGUGAGGUGUCCUGUUAAGUCAGGU